rnacentral:rRNA from 1 species
UCUGGUUGAUCCUGCCAGUAGUCAUAUGCUUGUCUCAAAGAUUAAGCCAUGCAUGUCUAAGUAUAAAUAGUAUACAGUGAAACUGCGAAUGGCUCAUUAAAACAGUUAUAGUUUAUUUGAUAAUUGACAAUUACAUGGAUAACCGUGGUAAUUCUAGAGCUAAUACAUGCUUAAACGCCCGACUUUAUGGAAGGGUGGUAUUUAUUAGACUGAAGCCAAUAUUCCUUGUGUCUAUUGCGGUGAUUCAUAAUAACUGAUCGAAUCUCUUUUUGAGAUAAAUCAUUCAAGUUUCUGCCCUAUCAGCUUUCGAUGGUAGUGUAUUGGACUACCAUGGCAGUAACGGGUAACGAAGAAUUAGGGUUCGAUUUCGGAGAGGGAGCAUGAGAAACGGCUACCACAUCUAAGGAAGGCAGCAGGCGCGUAAAUUACCCAAUCCUGACUCAGGGAGGUAGUGACAAGAAAUAGCAAACCGGGAACCUCAUGGUUUCACGGUAUUGCAAUGAGAACAAUUUAAAACCCUUAGCGAGAAUCAAGUGGAGGACAAGUCUGGUGCCAGCACCCGCGGUAAUUCCAGCUCCACUAGCGUAUAUUAAAGUUGUUGCAGUUAAAAAGCUCGUAGUUGAACCUCUGUCUGGGGCUAGUUUUGGCUUUGAUCAGGCUAGUUCUAGGCAUCCGCCUACAAGACUUAGAGGGCAUUCAGUUGUUCACUAGGAGGAGUAGGCAUUUUACUUUGAAAAAAUUAGAGUGUUUAAGGCAGGCAAUCGCCCGCAUAUAUUAGCAUGGAAUAAUAGAAUAGGACACUUUUCCAUUUCGUUGGUUAUUGGAAUCGUGUAAUGAUUAAUAGGGACAGUUGUGGGCAUUUGUAUUUAAUUGUCAGAGGUGAAAUUCUUGGAUUUAUUAAAGACAAACUAACGCGAAAGCAUUUGCCAAGGAUGUUUUCAUUAAUCAAGAACGAAAGUUAGGGGAUCAAAGACGAUCAGAUACCGUCCUAGUCUUAACUAUAAACUAUUCCGACUCAAUGUUUGACUGGCUUAUAUAACCAGUUGAGCGUUGUAUGAGAAAUCAAAGUCUUUAGGUUCUGGGGGGAGUAUGGUUGCAAAGCUGAAACUUAAAGGAAUUGACGGAAGAGCACAACCAGGAGUGGAUUCUGCGGCUUAAUUUGACUCAACACGGGGAAACUUACCAGGUUAAAACAAUAGUGGGAUUGACAGUUUGAGAGCGCUUUCUUGAUUGGUUGGGUGGUGGUGCAUGGCCGUUCUUAGUUGGUGGAGUGA